rnacentral:rRNA from 1 species
UACGUAGGGUCCGAGCGUUGUCCGGAGUUACUGGGCGUAAAGCGCGCGCAGGUGGUUCCCUAAGCCCGGCGUGAAAGCCCCCGGCUCAACCGGGGAGGGUCGUCGGGGACUGGAGAACUUGAGGGCGGCAGGGGCUGGUGGAAUCCCCGGUGUAGUGGUGAAAUGCGUAGAGAUCGGGGGGAACACCCGUGGCGAAGGCGGCCAGCUGGGCCGACCCUGACACUGAGGCGCGAAGGCGUGGGGAGCGAACCGG